CCGCAAAAGGGAUUGAAGUGGAAAUCCUUUUUUGCGAGGGCAAAUAUAAAAUAUAAGAAUAGAGCGGCUGGAAAAAAGAUUGCAACGGAAAGCCCGACCCGAG
rnacentral:sRNA from 1 species